rnacentral:rRNA from 1 species
AACGAACGCUGGCGGCAUGCCUAACACAUGCAAGUCGAACGGGUGGUAGCAAUACCACCAGUGGCAGACGGGUGCGUAACACGUGGGAACCUGCCCAGAGGUUCGGAAUAGCUGCGGGAAACUGCAGGUAAUACCGAAUGUUGCCUGAGGGCUAAAGGAGCAAUUCGCCUUUGGAGGGGCCCGCGUCGGAUUAGCUAGUUGGUGGGGUAACGGCUCACCAAGGCGACGAUCCGUAGCUGGUCUGAGAGGAUGGCCAGCCACACUGGAACUGAGACACGGUCCAGACUCCUACGGGAGGCAGCAGUGGGGAAUAGUUGGACAAUGGGGAAACCCUGAUCCAGCAAUGCCGCGUGGGCGAUGAAGGCCUU